GACGAACGCUGGCGGCGUGCCUAAUACAUGCAAGUCGAACGAGGGGCGGACGGGGGAGUAACACGUGGGAACCUACCCAUCAGAGGGGGAUAACACGUGGAAACAGGUGCUAAUACCGCAUAUUGGUGGAUGGACCAGGGUUGCAUUAGGUAGUUGGUGAGGUAACGGCCCACCAAGGCCACGAUGCAUAGCCGGCCUGAGAGGAUGAUCAGCCACACUGGAACUGAGACACGGCCCAGACUCCUACGGGAGGCAGCAGUGGGGAAUAUUGCACAAUGGGCGCAAGCCUGAUGCAGCCAUGCAGCGUGUAUGAAGAAGGCCUUAGGGUUGUAAAGUACUUUCAGCGGGGAGGCGUUACCCGCAGAAGAAGCACCGGCUAACUCCGUGCCAGCAGCCGCGGUAAUAC
rnacentral:rRNA from 1 species